rnacentral:rRNA from 1 species
AUGUUGCAGCACUUGGACCUCCAAGAUGAUGAGCUCGAUGAUGUGGUUGUAGGGGAGGAAGAGGUGAAGAAGUUUGAAGCGGAUGCUAGGUGGCUGGCGAUUGCGAAGGUGAACACGACCCGUAUUUUCAGCUCGUCUGCGAUGUUUGAGUGCAUGAAGUCAAUCUGGUCGCUAGCGCACAUUCCCAAGUAUAGGGAGGUGGGCGUAAACCUUUUUAUCUUCCAGAUGUUCUGCCUUGGCGACUGGAAAAAGGUGGUGCAUGGUGGUCCAUGGCUUUUCAGGGGGAUGGGGAUGCUGAUUGAGGACUAUGAUGGCAAGAAGGAACCUACAUCCUUUGACUUUGAUGGAUUAUAUGUAUGGGCUCGGAUUCAUAACAUACCAGAGCUAUAUCGUAAGGCAGAGGUGGUUGAUCAACUAGCCCGUCGUAUCGGACGGGUGAAGGAAAUUCAGCUUGCUCCUCGGCUGUUUUAUGAAGGGGACUAUGUUAGGGUUCGGGCCAAGGUUCUUGCCAACAAACCACUCACACGAGUCACACCAUUGAAUGUCGUGGGAGAGGGCCGACUGCUCCUUCCGGUAAAAUACGAGAAGAUUCCCUAUUUUUGUAAGGUCUGUGGACUCAUGGGACACAACCAUGAGGAGUGUGGCGAUGGUGUUUGGGAGGAGAAACACAAACAGUGGGGAGGUUGGAUGUUGGCACAGAGGAGGGAAAUUUCCCCAGAGCAGCAAGGCGGCUGGGCCACCCGUGGAGGCCACUCAAGUGGAAGAGGAAGGGGUAGGGUGUCACGCCCAAUAUGCGACCCUAUCCAAAAGGAACUCGAAGGUCCCACUAAGGAUAGACCCGCAUAUUGA